rnacentral:rRNA from 1 species
GCAAGUUUGAAACUCAAAGGAACUGACGGGGGCCCGCACAAGCGGUGGAUUAUGUGGUUUAAUUCGAUGAUACGCGAGGAACCUUACCAAGGCUUAAAUGGGAAUUGAUCGGCUUAGAAAUAGACCUUCCUUCGGGCAAUUUUCAAGGUGCUGCAUGGUUGUCGUCAGCUCGUGCCGUGAGGUGUUAGGUUAAGUCCUGCAACGAGCGCAACCCCUGUCACUAGUUGCCAUCAUUCAGUUGGGGACUCUAGUGAGACUGCCUACGCAAGUAGAGAGGAAGGUGGGGAUGACGUCAAAUCAUCACGGCCCUUACGCCUUGGGCCACACACGUAAUACAAUGGCCGGUACAGAGGGCAGCUACACAGCGAUGUGAUGCAAAUCUCGAAAGCCGGUCUCAGUUCGGAUUGGAGUCUGCAACUCGACUCUAUGAAGCUGGAAUCGCUAGUAAUCGCGCAUCAGCCAUGGCGCGGUGAAUACGUUCCCGGGCCUUGUACACACCGCCCGUCAAGCCAUGGAAGUCUGGGGUACCUGAAGUCGGUGACCGUAAAAGGAGCUGCCUAGGGUAAAACAGGUAACUAGGGCUAAGUCGUAACAA